rnacentral:rRNA from 1 species
UAACACAUGCAAGUCGAACGCCCCGCAAGGGAGUGGCGGACGGGUGAGUAACGCGUGGGAACCUGCCCAAUGGUUCGGAAUAACCGCGGGAAACUGCGGCUAAUACCGAAUAAGCCCCUGAGGGGAAAGAUUAUCGCCGAUGGAGGGGCCCGCGUCCGAUUAGGUAGUUGGUGAGGUAACGGCUCACCAAGCCUUCGAUCGGUAGCUGGUCUGAGAGGAUGAUCAGCCACACUGGGACUGAGAUACGGCCCAGACUCNUACGGGAGGCAGCAGUGGGGAAUAUUGGACAAUGGGGGCAACCCUGAUCCAGCAAUGCCGCGUGAGUGAUGAAGGCCUUAGGGUUGUAAAGCUCUUUUGCCGGGGACGAUGAUGACGGUACCCGGAGAAUAAGCCCCGGCUAACUUCGUGCCAGCAGCCGCGGUAAUACGAAGGGGGCGAGCGUUGUUCGGAAUUACUGGGCGUAAAGGGCGCGUAGGCGGCGACCCAAGUCAGAUGUGAAAGUCCUGGGCUUAACCUGGGGACUGCAUUUGAUACUGGGUUGCUUGAAUGCAGGAGAGGAUAGCGGAAUUCCCAGUGUAGAGGUGAAAUUCGUAGAUAUUGGGAAGAACACCGGUGGCGAAGGCGGCUAUCUGGACUGUGAUUGACGCUGAGGCGCGAAAGCGUGGGGAGCAAACAGGAUUAGAUACCCUGGUAGUCCACGCCGUAAACGAUGAGUGCUAGACGCUGGGGAGCAUGCUCUUCGGUGUCGCAGCUAACGCAUUAAGCACUCCGCCUGGGGAGUACGGUCGCAA